AUGGCGGCGAAGUCGCGCGACGGUCUGGGGGGUGGCGGCCCCUCCCUGGUGGUCGAAGGAGGUGAUGUCUGUGAAGAAGCAGCCGCGGUCGUCGAAAUUGUAGACGUAGGAGAGAGGGAGGGCGGGCUGGCGGGCGUGGUGGGCGAGGAGGAAGUCGCGGGUGGAGGUGGUGCAGCGCCAGGCACGGCAGACGGCACGGCAGCGGAGGAGGUCUUUGGGGGGCAGGCGGACGAGGAUCUCCCAGAUGGCGAUCUCGUCAGGGAGGCCGCCGAGGAGAGGAGGCGGUGCGGCCUCCGCCAUGGUCGCCGGCCGGGAGUUCGUCCUGGAUCUCACUCGAUCUGUCUCGGAGCAAAGCAAAAAGGAGUGGUGCAGUAA
rnacentral:rRNA from 1 species